rnacentral:rRNA from 1 species
GAUGAACGCUAGCGGCAGGCUUAACACAUGCAAGUUGCGGGGCAGCACGUCUUCGGAUGGUGGCGACCGGCGCACGGGUGCGUAACGCGUAUGCAACCUACCCUUUACAGGGGAAUAGCCCGAGGAAACUCGGAUUAAUGCCCCAUAGUAUUAUUGAUUCGCAUGAAUUAAUACUUAAAGCUCCGGCGGUAAAGGAUGGACAUGCGUGACAUUAGCUUGUUGGUGAGGUAACGGCUCACCAAGGCAAUGAUGUCUAGGGGUCCUGAGAGGGUUCACCCCCACACUGGUACUGAGACACGGACCAGACUCCUACGGGAGGCAGCAGUGAGGAAUAUUGGUCAAUGGAGGAAACUCUGAACCAGCCAUGCCGCGUGCAGGAAGAAUGCCCUAUGGGUUGUAAACUGCUUUUAUACAGGAGGAAACUUUCUACGUGUAGAAAUAUGACAGUACUGUAUGAAUAAGCACCGGCUAACUCCGUGCCAGCAGCCGAC